rfam:Gossypium raimondii chromosome 3, whole genome shotgun sequence.
AUCCAAUGAUGAGGACACUUACAAAGUAACUCCUUGAAUCUUUCUCAUGCCACGUAUAAGGACUCAUCAUCCAAUUGUUGGAAAGUAGUUAUCUCAUUACGCAACUU